rnacentral:rRNA from 1 species
UUCCGUAGUGAACCUGCGGAGGGAUCAUUA